AUUGAACGCUGGCGGCAGGCCUAACACAUGCAAGUCGAACGGUAACAGGAAGAAGCUUGCUUCUUUGCUGACGAGUGGCGGACGGGUGAGUAAUGUCUGGGAAACUGCCUGAUGGAGGGGGAUAACUACUGGAAACGGUAGCUAAUACCGCAUAACGUCGCAAGACCAAAGAGGGGGACCUUCGGGCCUCUUGCCAUCGGAUGUGCCCAGAUGGGAUUAGCUAGUAGGUGGGGUAACGGCUCACCUAGGCGACGAUCCCUAGCUGGUCGGAGAGGAUGACCGGCCACACUGGAACUGAGACACGGUCCAGACUCCUACGGGAGGCAGCAGUGGGGAAUAUUGCACAAUGGGGGCAAGCCUGAUGCAGCCAUGCCGCGUGUAUGAAGAAGGCCUUCGGGUUGUAAAGUACUUUCAGCGGGGAGGAAGGGAGUAAAGUUAAUACCUUUGCUCAUUGACGUUACCCGCAGAAGAAGCACCGGCUAACUCCGUG
rnacentral:rRNA from 1 species